GAAAUUAGGUAUUUGCAAGUCGUCGUCUUUGUCAAACCAAAAUAAAUUUUGAGUAGAAUUUGGUAUGUAGAGGCUAUCAAUAAAAAGAGAAAGGAAAGAAGAAGACAAAAAAGAAGAGAUGGCGUUAAAGCAAAGCUUGCAAUUGGAAGAGUGGAAGGAAAAUGGAGGAAGAAAAACUAUGGAAAAGGAUCACCUUCAAUAUUUCAACAUCUUCAUGGUAGACUUACUCAAACAAAAUGGCCUCGGAUUCAUUAUGUUAUCACCGGUUCUAGGCAAAUCCAUGUAAAGAAACGCAUCAAUGGCGGGUGUCAUGUGACAUGAUGCAUGCUAUGCAGACUUUUGUUUAAUUAGCUUGGCCCAUGUCAUCUUCUUCUUUCUUUCGUUAGUCUUUUCUUCAGGCAAGCUUGGCCCAAGUUGUCCCAUGUCCACUUCUUUCAAAAGACGGGCAAAGCAUGGCUGAUGUACAGUGUACAUACGUCCACCUAGUACCACCAUAGUAAACAGCAACCUUAUUAAUUUCCUUCUUCUAAAUUAAAUGGCGCGGAUGUAUCAUUGUAGCUCAAUUCUGAGUAAAAUUAAAUCAUGAU
rnacentral:lncRNA from 1 species